rnacentral:misc_RNA from 1 species
AAGUUUUUUCAUCUUCUCAACCUGCAAGUUUAUUAUAAAGAAAAUGAAAUUUUCGGGCCUAUAAAAGAUUAGCUACAGCUUAGCCAUAUAGGUCACAAGUCACAACAUAAGAGAAUCAAAAGCUAACUAAGAUGAGACAUGAAUCAGCAAUGCCAUAUCUAACCAAUGUAAAGUCCAAGAGCAACAUAUUCAAAUGAUACAAUUUAAGACUAACCUCCGGAAUAGCAUCUUGCCA